AUACUUACCUGGCAAGGGAGAAACCGUGAUCAAGAAGGCGGUUCACCCAGGGCGAGGCUCAGCCAUUGCACUCUGGCUGUGCUGACCCCUGCGAAUUUCCCAAAUGUGGAAAUCUCGAUUGCAUAAUUUCUGGUAGUGGGGGACUGCGUUCGCGCUCUCCCCUG
rnacentral:snRNA from 8 species